rnacentral:rRNA from 1 species
CCUACGGGAGGCAGCAGUAAGGAAUAUUGGUCAAUGGACGAAAGUCUGAACCAGCCAUGCCGCGUGAAGGAUGACGGCCCUCUGGGUUGUAAACUUCUUUUAUAGGGGACGAAAAAAGGGUAUUCUUACUCACUUGACGGUACCCUAGGAAUAAGCACCGGCUAACUCCGUGCCAGCAGCCGCGGUAAUACGGAGGGUGCAAGCGUUAUCCGGAUUCACUGGGUUUAAAGGGUGCGUAGGUGGGUCUAUAAGUCAGUGGUGAAAUCUCCGAGCUUAACUCGGAAACUGCCAUUGAUACUAUAGGCCUUGAAUUAUCUGGAGGUAAGCGGAAUAUGUCAUGUAGCGGUGAAAUGCUUAGAUAUGACAUAGAACACCAAUUGCGAAGGCAGCUUACUACGGAUAUAUUGACACUGAGGCACGAAAGCGUGGGGAUCAAACAGGAUUAGAUACCCUGGUAGUCCACGCCCUAAACUAUGGAUACUCGACAUCAGCGAUACACUGUUGGUGUCUGAGNGAGANAUAUAUCCACCUGGAGACGACGCGAGUAGAAGUAAGUAAGUAGAGNGNGAGAGNGCGAGACGACGACGAGGGAGGAGG